CCUACGGGUGGCAGCAGUGAGGAAUAUUGGUCAAUGGACGAAAGUCUGAACCAGCCAAGUAGCGUGAAGGAUGACUGCCCUAUGGGUUGUAAACUUCUUUUAUAAGGGAAUAAAACGAGGCACGUGUGCCUCUUUGCAUGUACUUUAUGAAUAAGAAUCGGCUAACUCCGUGCCAGCAGCCGCGGUAAUACGGAGGAUCCGAGCGUUAUCCGGAUUUAUUGGGUUUAAAGGGAGCGUAGAUGGGUUGUUAAGUCAGUUGUGAAAGUUCGCGGCUCAACCGUAAAAUUGCAAUUGAUACUGGCAGUCUUGAGUACAGUCGAGGUAGGCGGAAUUCGUGGUGUAGCGGUGAAAUGCUUAGAUAUCACGAAGAACCCCGAUUGCGAAGGCAGCUUACUAAACUGUGACUGACAUUGAUGCUCGAAAGUGUGGGUAUCAAACAGGAUUAGAUACCCGUGUAGUC
rnacentral:rRNA from 1 species